GCCACUCUAUCUUAGUGGUCGAGCGUCUGCUUCGUAAGCGGAAGGUCGCCAGUUUAAUCCUGACAAGUGGCU
rnacentral:tRNA from 1 species